UACGUAGGGUGCAAGCGUUAAUCGGAAUUACUGGGCGUAAAGCGUGCGCAGGCGGUUGUGCAAGACAGAUGUGAAAUCCCCGGGCUCAACCUGGGAAUUGCAUUUGUGACUGCACGGCUAGAGUGUGUCAGAGGGGGGUAGAAUUCCACGUGUAGCAGUGAAAUGCGUAGAGAUGUGGAGGAACACCGAUGGCGAAGGCAAUCCCCUGGGCCUGCACUGACGCUCAUGCACGAAAGCGUGGGGAGCAAACAGG
rnacentral:rRNA from 1 species